CGCAGUGAUGCAGUAAUACACUAAAAUUGGAACAAUACAGAGAGGAUUAGCAUGGAUGCCUUUCACAAGGAUGACACACACACUCUUGAGGAGAUGUCAGAGAGG